CCCUUAGAUGUCCUGGGCCGCACGCGCGUUACACUGAUGCAUUCAACGAGCUUAUAACCUUGGCCGAGAGGCCUGGGCAAUCUUGUUAACGUGCAUCGUGAUAGGGAUAGAUUAUUGAAAUUAUUAAUCUUGAACGAGGAAUUCCUAGUAAACGCAGAUCAUCAAUCUGCAUUGAUUACGUCCCUGCCCUUUGUACACACCGCCCGUCGCACCUACCGAUUGGAUGGUCCGGUGAAGCCUCGGGAUUGUGGUUCUUGCCGCUUUAUUGUGGCGUGACCGCGAGAACUUGUCUAAACCUUAUCCUCUAGAGGAAGGUGAAGUCGUAACA
rnacentral:rRNA from 1 species